UCCUUUAGUUGAUCACCACGGUGUCCUUUUUCCAUUUGCACACUUCCUAGCAAUAAACCAAACCUAAUAAUCUUAGUGUUUAUCAUUCCCAUUUUACUCAAUUAUUUGCAAGUUUACAUGUAUCAUCAUCUAUCCAACUUUCAAUGCUAUAUUUCUCAAUCCACCAUUCACAUUAUUCAUUUUUCAUUGCUUUCAAACAAUAACAUAACAAGCAACUUAACAUGUCCAUCUAGCUCAUGCAUUUUAGAUCUUUUUAACAACCAUUAAUCAUGCGUACGGCAGCAACUAUAAACCUACGUCCACCGAGCAAUUUCUAAGCUUAUGUGAAACACUAUUCAUAUUUACAUACUGCCACUAAGCACAACAUAAAUUUUCAUUCAUGCACACUACAUUUUUAACCCUUGAAGCCUUUCACAACACAUGUCCACACAUUUAUGUUUCAAGCUUUUCAAUUAACAUAAUUAUUUUCUAACCGUACCUAAGGCAUCACAUAAACACUACACAUUGUUUACCUUACCUUUGUGGUGGAUUUGCUCUUGCAUGCAACCUCAAUGUUCUUCCAAUACUCCUCACACCAAGCUGCCAUCAUUUUACACAAUCAUUUCCUCAUAAUAUAUAACCAACCAUAGGCCUCAAAUUAUGGUAUUAUGCUUCCCAUUUCUUUUCCACUUUGAAUCCAUCAUGCACCCAUGAUUUUGAUAGCUUUGCAUGUCUCUAAAUCCUCUCCAUUCAAGCCAAUCUUUGCUGCCACAAGACAUUUCAUAUAGUUACCAACCCAUUUUCAAGAAAUGUUCAAGCUAAAACCAAAGUUCUUACCUUAUUUUGUUUAAAUCACAAAAUUGAGCUUUACACUUCUUUCCACCUUCCACGACUUCUCUCUUGAGUAUUGGAGACUCCUUGGGUGAUGAAAUAGCACAAAUCUUCAAGAUGAGGGAGGAAACCUCUCGGUUCCUCAUGGUUUUAUGCAAAAUUGAGCCUUGCCUUCUUUUCUCUCUUUUUCUUCCUUUCUUUCUUUCCUUUCCUUUCUUUUUUCUUCUUUCUAUCCUUUCCUUUCUCUUUUCUUCUUGGUUAUGGGUGGACUCCUCAAGCCCAAGCCUUGAAAAUGGUUUCCAUUUUGUUUAUUUUUGCCCACACAUGGGCGAAUUGCCCAAAGCCACCCUUUUCUAUUAUUUUUCUUUUCUUUUCUCUUUAUUCUCCUUGCAUGGACAGAUUGCCCAAGGUUUAAUGACUCUUUGACAUCUUUUCCUCUUAUUUUAUGUGAUAAAAUCACAUGGCAAAAGGCUUGCAACCUUUCCACCUGCCACUUGCAUUUUCAUUCUUUACUUUUCAUCUUUUUUAUUCUAUGCACUACAUUUACUUUAAGCUUUAUUUAAUCACUCAUUGUCCCAUCCAAAUCACAUGCAACCCACUUUCUUCUUUCUUCAUUUGACCACCAUUGCACCAAUCACAUUUCAUGCUAACAAAUUUUAAUCUUAUUUUUUCUUUUACUUCACAUGGUAGGGGUCCCAUAUGUGCCCCACUAACUUUUCCUUUUUACACCAUUGUUUGCAUGUAAUAGUAACUUCCACAUGUACAUCUCAUAUUCCUCAUAAUCUAGCAUUCCUUGGUUAGGAAAUUCCCUUUUUUAACUUCAAAUAUUAAAAUUACAAUGAGUCCUCAAACUUUUCCUUAUUUACCAUGCGACCCCUCCAACUUUCAUCCUUUACAAUUGGGUCCUUCCAACAUUUCUUAACUCCAAUUUCCUUUUAUUUUCCUUCCUUUACAUGUGUACAAACAAAAUAUAAAAUCUGCACUUCAUCACGGUAUCACCUUAAUAUUUAAAUAUAUACUUACCCACGCUAGCUUUAUUUGAUAAAGACACGCGAGUCCCACUAACGUCAUUUUUCCUUUAAAACCCUUUCCUUCUUUUUCUCCCCCACUUUGAUUAGUCAUAUAAUCCUCCUUCCUGAUUAAUUUCAGCAAUAGAUAAAAUAUUAAUAUUUUAUAAUUAUUUUAUUAAUAAAAUAUUAUUUUAUUUUAAAUUUUCUUUUCACCUAUUACCACUCUUUGGCACUUAAAUUUACGUCAAUUGACCCUUCGUAUUGUCGAUAAGGUCAUAUUGAUUUCUAUACGAGGGUACAGGGUGUUACAUAAAUCAUUAUAGAAUGUUUGUACUUGAAGUCACUUUGGUAGACUAUGAUAAGGGCAACGUCGAAGCAAAUCCCUAUAUAUAUCCUAGGCCUCAUACAACAAUUCAGAGUCAAGUUGCUUGAACGAAGUAAUAUCAUUCCUCAUCUUAGUUGUCUUAGUCGGAAGAAAGAAUUUAGCUAAGAACUUCUGAGCAAGAUCAUCCCAAGUUGUAAUAGAGCUCAUGGGAAGUGAGUUUAACCAAACCUUUACCUUGUCUUGCAAUGAAAAAACCAAAAGUUACAAUCUGAUAGCACCAUUGGUAACUCCAUUAUGCUUAAAGGUGUCACAAAUCUCACGAAAAUUUGAGAUAUGAACAUUAUGAUCAUCAUUAUGCUCAAAGUUAUUAGCUUCAAUAACUGACCAUCGAAUGCUCGAAUGAAGACCUUGCACCAACGAGAUAGCAUAAUCUCUUAAAGAUCGAAUAUCUUCCACUAAUUUCCCUUGAAUUUUCUACUCUCCUUGUUGUUCAACCAUCGUUUCUACAUGAGUUAAGGUUUGGAAAUUUCUCUCCAAAGACUUCAAAAAGUUUUCUCGAUUUUUGGAUCAAAGGUACAAUUUCCAAACUUCUUAUUCUUUGCAUACUAUGACCAAAAAUACUUGAAAUAAAGAAAAACCAAGGUUGAAGUAAGACUGGUUUGCUUGGUAUUAAUAUUAGCAAAAAGCAAGAAAACAAUCCCUGGCAGUUUUUGUAAUGAUCGUUCCUCAAUCGUUAUUGGUGUCCGAGACUUGCAGGAGAACCCGCCAAAUCCUGAACAAGCCUUAGUUGAAUCUUUAGUUAUUAUGCCAUCAAUUUGUGAAACUAUUUGAACCAUAUAUCUCUUUGUAAUAAGGAUUAAACAUAAUCAUAAUAAACCAUCUUAACCUUUAUUCACCAUACUCAUAAAGAUUACAUUAUAGUCUAUAAUUAUUCAAUUGUACACUUACAUUGACUCUACUUACAAAUACAUUAUACUAUGAAUGACUCGACCUCUAGUAGCGGAGCUGUCAUAGCCCAAUUUUUGGACCAUGAUCGGUGCAAGGGCCCAAUGGGCACAACCCACUAAGCCCAAGCAAGCUUAUUUAAGAAAUUCUAUUUCAUUAUUCCCACCAUUAUUUCUAGCCACAAUAUUUAUUCUCAACUAUACGUAUUUUGAUAAUAAAGAAGGCAACCAAAUAUUUAUAUAGGUACUAACCCAAAAUACUGUCAUUCAUUGCCAUCUCAUAAUGGCAUCAUCAUAUCACAUAUACAUCUAUUGUUUGUAGCCUAAAUCUUAGUGAUUUACAUCGAGUAUAAAUCCACAUGCAAAACUCUUGACGACUAGCGGAGUGACUUGGGUGAGGGCACAGCUACCAAAUGCCAUAUACCUACCAAUGGGUGAAUACGAGUGGUCUCCUUAAUCUCGGUUCCAACUAGCUAUGGAUCUGAAAACAUGCAAUUUAAAAGAGUUAGUAUAAACUCAGUGAGUGAAAAUAAGAAAGGAACAAGCAACGAUAAGGAAUGUUUUAGAAAACAUGUUGCACUUACGAUAAAACCAUGCAAUUUAGUCUAAUUUUUUGUUAAAACCCCUCAUUUCAAACUUUGAAUGUUUAAUCCCUUGAUGAUACAAGAUCCAUGAUAAAUCAUGAAGUUGAAUAGAAUGAAAAUUUCAGCAAUGACCAAGCAAGACAAGCAAAUAGAGGGUUUUUUCGCUGCAGCGAAAAGGCAUUUUUUGUUUGCAUAUGCUUCAAUUUUUCUAGCAUAUCUCCCAUUACAGAAGUCCAAUUGACAUAAUGUUUAGGUCAUUAGAAAGCUAAGAGGCUGGGAUACAACUUUGAUGUUUACUACUUUGCCCAGUUCUGAUUGGAAGGUGGUCAAAAUCUUUGUCCAAAUGAAAGUAUUGCACCAAAAUUUUAGAACCACCCGAGAGUUUCUCGCUGCAACGAGAACCAGGCCAAUGUAACCCCCCCCAACUUGAGAGUUUCUCGUUGCAAUGCAAAUGAAUCUCGUUGCAGCGAGAACCAAGCCAAUGUAACCCCCCUCAACCCGAGAGUUUCUCGCUGCAAUGCAAAUGAAUCUCGUUGCAGCUAGAAACAAAGCAAUUUAGUUAAAAAGGGUAUUGUUACAUCAAAAAGCCAUUUUCUUGCUGAAAUGAAAAGCAAUUUGGGAGCAAUUAACAAUGCCAACAUAUAACACAAUCACAAUUAUUUUCAUAAACUUUCUAUAACAUAUAUAUAUAUACAUACAUCAUCAUGCAUACCAUCCCACCACACUCAACUCAUGUGCACUCCCUACACGCACAAUGCAAUAUCAUCAUCAUCAUCAUCAGCUCAUGUGCACUCCCACACCGCACGUAGCUGGGUCCUUAUUUUCACACAAAAGGAGCAUCCAAAGCAUAAUAUACAUAUCAAUAUAAUGUGAAAAUUCAUGAACUAUUCAUAUUGCACAUUUCACAAGAUAGAAACAUUUCAUCAAUGGCUUGUUCCCCAAGUAUAUUUUUAAAGCAAAAAUGAAUGAAACUUUCAAAUGAUUUAUUUAAACAUGUAGGCACUUCCCAAAACAUUUUGAAAUGCAAGUUCACUCAACGGUAUUUGUUAAAUCUUUACCUAACUCAAACUUGCUCUAAUUGUCUAAAUGAGGCAGUGGGGCUUUGUUGGAACCUUGGUAGCUUUGUAAGUGAAUCCUUUCCAAGAAUUUUCAAGCUAUUAUGGAAGCUCUCUCUCUUUCUCUCUCUAAAAGACCUAACUAGUGAGAGAAAGUAUGGGAGUAAGACUUUUUAAGGGUUUUAAGGUGAGAAAGUGAAAGAGCAUGAAAAACACUAUAACAAGGUGUGUAAAAGCAUGAAAUUUAAGGUUAGUUUGAGAGGCUGAUGAAAGCUAAAGCUUUCAUGGAGGAUGAAAGAAAUGUGAGCUGGGAGGAAGAAGAAGAAGAAGCUGCUGAAAAAAUGAGGAAGCUGUUGGAGAUUAGAUAUUUAUAUCUAAAGUUUAUCCAAUUUCUCACAUAAAUUACCAAAAUGCCCUUAACAUUAUGGCUUUAUCUUCCUCCCAUCCUUUGUGCAACCUUUUUACUCUUUUGACAUUGAGACAAAGUCCAUAAUAGUCUAAAAAUACUCAAGUUCAUGAAAACGUAAAAAUUUAGACCCAAGAUGCAAAAUGACCAUUUUGACCCUACUAUGGAAAUUAUUAGUAUUUCUAUCUUCUUCAUUCAUUUUACCAUCAUUCAUCUAUUCCUUAGGCCUACUUAGACCUUAAUAACAUUAGAAAGCUACUUUCAUGAGCUCACCAUGAAAAAUGAUGAAAUUACCCUUAGUCCAUGUUAUCUCGUCAACUUCUACUUACAUGUCUACGAAGGUCAAGGUUUCAUAAUACGAGGGUACUAGGUUUCACAAGAGCGACUUGGAAUAAAGUGCUACGAGAUGCUUUUACCUAUUUACGAUAGACAACAUGUGCCGAUGAACACACACUAGGUCGAACACUAUCUGCAAAAGGGAAAUAAAGGGGUGACUCUCACAGACUCAGUAAUCAUCGGCUCCGUGAGUAGGAAGUAGAUGGGAAACAAGCUUAAGGCAGAUCAUUUGAAUGAUAAAUCCGAAAUAAAAGUAAUAAUCUUAGAAAAAUUAAAUCUCAAAUAGAGUGUUUUGCCUUGUAAAAAUGAUGCCGUAAAAUCAUCGUGCAAUAUUUCACUUGGCAAAACGAUGCUGAAAACAAGUGUAGCGAAACCAAGUUCAAUCAUAGCAAACAUCACUUACGAUCAAAAUACGAGAAACGGUAUAAAAAUAUGCACGUUCCCAAGUUGUGUGGCACGUAAAGAAAUCAAUUUAUAAAGCCACAUAAACCAGCUCAUGAUUGACAAGUAAGCACUGAAAGCUUUUAUUCAAAUAAAGGGAGCUACAUAGAAAAACCUUAACUCUCCACCAUGCAAAAGAGUACGCGUCGAAAAACUCACAAGGCUCUCGAGUAGGAAAGUAUAAUAUCAACACACGGACCCACUUCCACGUAAUAACAAUCCGGGAACACUGCUUCCACCGGAUUCCCACAUGUCAUGGCAGUCUCGAUGAUGUUGGCCGACAUCGGAGAAUCAAGUGGUCACAACCGUGAAUAUCACUUGUGGCCUAGCCAUAUAUAACAACCCGUGGCCUUGCCACGUAUAUCAUAGACCAUGGCCCCAGCCAUGUCUAUCAGCUUAUCAGUGACUCAAAGGUUCUCUAGCUAAAGCUCACUUGUGCACAAGAGUACACUUAACUAAAGUGACAUUUGACCUAAUCUCAACACUCUCGGUUUGUCAAAAUUGUUUUCAAAACCAAAUCAAGUUUUUCAAGACUUUUUCUUUUAAAUCUUUUGAAAUCAAGGUUUGAUAACCGGUCAAAUUGCAUUUCUCAUUAAUUGGAAUGGUGUAAACACGUGUACAAAGGUCGAAAUAAAACCGGUGCUCAAAACUUGUAUUUAAAUCAUUUUAACAAAUGCAUUUAGCUUUGCAGAUCACACAAAAAUACAAGGCACGAAUUUUGAUGAAAACAUCAUAAAAAGGCUUGUUUCUCUGUUUCUAAAACACUUUACAUAUAUAGAUUAUCUAUAGGCAUAUCCAAACCAACUUUCAAAACAACUUGCAUCCACAAAAUACCUAGGAUUCUACCAACUCAUGCUUUCCACAAAUUUUGCAUUUAAAAUAAAUCAUCACAUAUAUAUAUUAUGGAAAUUUGGAAAUCGACACCCCCUACUCACCUUACAAUAGCAGGACGACACUUUAUCGUUAUUGAUUCGAGUGUGUAUCUAGCUAUUUCUACUUGCCGGUCACCCGUUACCUCGUCCGGCAUGCCACCACGGUAAACUUUUCUAGCAAUAAAUUAAACUCAAUAUAUUUAAUGUAUAUCAUUUCCACUUCUCUUUCUCAUUCAAUCAUAAAUCCUCAUUCUAUUAACUUGCAUCUUAACACGUUUUUGCUAAGGUUAUUCAUAUCCUUUGUUUGUGUAAUUCUUUAGAUUAUAAGUACCAGCAACUUAUUCAUAACUUUAGCACACAAUUUAAUCUUUUCCAAUGAUAUUUAUCAAGUUUAGCUAUCAUUUUCACACCAAUAACCUCGCAUAUGGCAGCAAUUAUAAAUCUAAUUUCAUCAAGCAUUUUGCAAGUUUACAUGCACCAUAAUUCACAUUUACUUGCUGCCUCCAAGCAUAACAUCAAUAUUCAUUCAUAUGCACUAACAUUCAUAAUCUUUUAAACCUUUCACAACAACACAUAUCCACACAUUACAUUUUUUUCAAGUUUUCAACUAUCAUAAUUGCAUUUAAUCGUACCCAUGACAUCAAAAUAACACUACACAUUGCAUGCCUUACCUUUGUGGUGAAUUUGACCUUGCAUGCAACCUUAAUGCUCUUCCAAUAUUCCACUCACCAAGCUACCAACAAUUGCACAAUCAUUCCUUACGAUAUUCAUCUAACCGUAGGCUUCAAAACAUAGUGUUAAGCUUGCCGUUUUUCUUUCACCUUGAACCCAUUAUGCACCCACAAGUUUGGUGGCUUGCAUGUCACCAAUUUUUCUCUAAUCAAGCUGAUCUUUGCUGCCACUAGACAUUUCUCUUAGUCAUCAACUCAUUUUCAAGGAUUACUCAAGCUAAAAACAAAAAUCCUUACCUUUCCUUGCUUGAAUCACAAAACCGAGCUUUAUACCUCCAUUGACUCUCUAUGGCUUCUCUCUUGAGUAUUGAAGGUUCCUUGAGUGAAACAACAACAUAAAUCUACAAGAUGAGGGAGGAAAUCUCACGGUUCCUCUUGGUUUUUUGCAAAACGGAGCCUUUCCUUCCUUUCUUGCUUUUUCUUUAUUUCUUUCUCUCAUUUCCUUUCUGUUUUCUUCUUUCUUUCCUCUUGUUUCUCUUUUCUUCUUGGUUAUGGGUGGACUUCUCAAGGCCAAGCCUUGAAAAUGGCUUUCAUUUUCUCAUUUUUCUCUCCCAUGGGUGGAUUGCCCAAGGUCAUUCACCUUUUUCUCUUCUUUCCUUUUCUUGUCUCUUUAUUUUUCCUUCAUGGGUGGAUUGCCCAAAAAUUGCUCAUUUUAGCAUUUUUCCUUUUUCCUUUUAUGUGGCAAAAUUGCAAGUCAAAAGGCCUUUGAACCAUUCCACUUGUCGUUCACUUUUCAUUGUCCAUUCUUUCUUCAUUUCUUUUUCAUCUCUUAUUUACAUGCCAUGCCAUUCAAUUACCUUUCUUUGUUUUCUUUCUAUUAAAUAUUAUAUUUAUGCCUUUUCUUCUCAAAUCACAUCACCUUAUUUACUUGUUUACAUGGGCUAUCUUUGCCAAACCAUGGUUUUCUCUAAUUAAAUAUUUUUUGAUUCUUUUUCUCUUGUCAACUUUCACAUGGUGGGGUACCAUAUGUUUUGUCACGACUCGGUACUCCCCUCGAGCCCGUGACAACCUCCACGACGUCUCGGUAGACAUUCGUUACCCGAAAUGCCAACCGGAACCCCGCAAGGCUUUAGUACCUUUUUUUUUCAUCUCCCCUGUGAGUAAUCAUCGCCAAACCACGUUUUUAAAAAAUUUUAAGCUUUUUCCCUUUCAAAACCGUGAAAAAAUAAUUUUCGCCUCACAGGGGCGUUUUUGUCAUUUUUCCUUAAAAUUUUCUAAACCUGACUAAAAAUGUAGUAGAUGACUGAAAAACACAUAUUUCAUGAUUUAAAAUAGAUUUGGGCGUCUAAAACAUUUAUUAAAAAUGACAUUGCAACUAUUUAAAUAAAAUAAUAAUAUUUUAUAAAAUAUUCUAAUUGCUUGUAAAACAAUAUUUAUAGUCAUCGGUAAAUAUUUUUUGUAAUGUAAAAGCUAAAUAAAUUCAUACGUACUAUAAUACAAAUAACCGGGAUAUGAAAUUUACUUUACAGUGACUCGUGGGCCAACAAGGAACAAAAGUGCACAAAGGCAAUAAACCUACAAUUUUUGGAGUAGUAAAGCCGACUAUAAUCCUUGACGAUAUUUGCUAUCCAUAGGCUACCUCGGGCCUGAAAUGGUUAAAAAGGUGGGUGGUGAGAUUAUAAAAUCUCAGUGAGUAAACAGAUACCAUCUAAAUCAUCUAAAGUCGAGUAAGUGGAGAUAGAUAAAACAGUUUAACAUACUGAAAUUCAUCACCUUUCAACUUGUUUCAACCAAAUAAAAUCAAUUCAUAUAAAUCGAGUAAUUAACAUGGCUUAUGAAUUUCUUAAAACUUUGGCUCGUGCCAAAAAUCAUUUUUAUACCCAGUUAUCAAGGAUGCCUUGAUCGAGGGCUAUCCCAACCGAGUCCGCCAAGGCUAAUAAAAAGUCAUGUACGCAUAAAUCAUAUUUUUAUUUUGAAAACAUAGUCGUUCCUUGGCGUUGGCUGAGUUCUCCCCACGUGGUGGUUGGGUAUGAAGUGAACUCUAAAGUUUGACCUCAGGAGUUACCCUACGCGCCUCUACAAUCGAGGUGCAUAUAUAUGACCAGGUUCCAUGCCCUUAUAAUAGGUUGGUCUACAGAACCAGCCCACUGCAGCAAGCUAAACCCACUAUAUAAUAAAAAUUCAACAGCAUGAUAUGACAAUUUUUUAAUUAUCCAGCCUAUCAAGGCAAACAAUAGUUUAUACAUUUCAACACAAAUACCAAUUUAGCCAUUCAUGCCAAUAUUGUCCUAAGCCAAACAAUUAGAACCAUAUAUUCACAAUACAUCAAAUGGUCUCCAAUUACUCUAUUUUCAAAGCCAUUAUUCAAUUUCAAAACAAUUUUUUGAAAUCAUUUCAUUAAAUCACAUUUGGUUUAUAAAAUCGAAAAAUUAAUCAUUUAAUUCAUUUUCCAUGAAAUUCACAAAAUCAGAUAAAAACCACUUUAGAUAAUUAAGACGAUAGUAAGGUUACUCACAGUACUAGGAGUUCGAUAUACUUCUAUUCUCGAUCUUCAAGCACAAUCUCUUUACCCCUGUUAGAGGGCUCACCACCUAUACAUCGUAUGUGACACGAAUUUCAAUAAAUUGUGUCAAUUUAUCAUAAACUAUUUCAGGCUCUAUAAAUCUAUGUGAAUGCACGAAAUGUGAUGCAAAAUGUGUGAAUAGUCGUUUACAUACGGUAUUCGAUCUAAUUCGCACUAUUCUCGGUGUAAUUGGCUAAAACGUCCAAUUUAACUCCAAAUCUAUUUCUUUCACUUUCUACACUCCAAUUAUACUUAAAAUACCUCAAUGAAUGUGAAUAUGAUUCAAUUUAUCAGUUUGAACCAUAAAUCGCACAUGUCUAUACAUUAGGUAAAAAUUCAGAUUUUCAUGCCAAAAUUUCCCAUUAAAUUUUUAGCCUCACCAAUCAUUAAAUACCACCAAAAUAUUAUGAAAUAUCAUCAAUUUCAACCUCAAUAUCCUCCCUAGAAAAUUCGGCCUCUUGUGGGUUUGUGAAGAACAAAGUGAUUCCUAGCUAGAUUUUCAUACUUUCCAUUACCAAACAACCAAAAACACUUAAUUAGCUUGAAAUCUAGCAAAAUCAAUGCUCAAAACCUCUCCUCUCAAAUUCGGCCAGUAUGGGUUCAUCAUGCAAACUUGAGUUCUAAGCAUGGAAAAUGAAAAAGAAAGCAUGCGUAGUGUAAAUCACAAGAUAAAAUCACAGAAUCUUACCUUUAUUAGCUUAAUCCCUUGAAAUCCCACACUUUUUCUUCAAUUUUCCCACCUAGGGUUUGUGGUCUUUCCUUUCCUCUUCACUUCAUGCUUUGGCC
rnacentral:lncRNA from 1 species